AUGGAUUUCUUUAACCUUGUUUGGUAGAAAAAAUUCUAUGGAGAAAACAGACAAUUUCAAAAUUUAUGAUGUCCAAAGCCAUCAGAGAAGUGUGGUGUGCGUCUGAUGUGGCACAGUGACAGGCUGGGCACCUGCUGUUGUCAUUUGUCAUUAGCUUAUCAUUUAAGAUGUUGGUUUAGGAGGAGUACACACACACACACAUUUAACUGAAUAUAAUGGAGAAGACUUGCUCCUUAGAAGUAACUUCUUUCUUAUUGCUGCAGUUAGAAGUACAAUGCCCCUUUAUUGUAUUUUUUUUCUUGACCCUACAGGAUGCCCGGUGGUAACCAGCCUUCCAUGUGGCUGAACAGAUGCCAGUGUAUCCGAAUUCUGAGACACAACUGGAUGUCCUUUUCUUCUGCUUUUAAGAUUUCCAAUUCGAGAUGAUGUGCAGUUCAAGUUAGAUUUGUUAUUUCUAUAGUUACAGUGAAGUAGAAGAGUCUGGCCGUGUUAUGGGGCAGCAGUUAAAGAAGAAGGAAGGAGAGAUGUGUGCCAUGUUGAAGUAACAGCUGGCCCUCCUGCCUGGCACUUCUAGAAUCCUCCAUCUAAACCUCUGCUCUGAUCUGCUGUGCCUUUGCCAAGUGAUCACGAGUUUAUUGCAAUGGUGCCCCCCUGCGUCUCCACCGUCUGUUAAAUCAACUCCAACUGCCUAUGAUAGAAGAAAAGUUCACAAGACGUCCUGAAAUGGAAUUGUGAUUGGAGUGAGAUGGCCACAAUUAUGUAUGCUGAGAAGUGCAGAGGGGGCUGUGUGGGCUUUGGCGUGGGACCCCCAGAGGUUUAUUAUCUCUGGCAACCUUGAAAGCUGCAAGUUUGUCUUUGUCCCCGGCCAUUUGACCAGGCAGUGUAUUUAAUACAAAGGACAAGGACCCCUCCAUUUGCUUCUUAUUUACUUUUAUAAUACCUUCAGUUUUCUUUGAAACUGUAUAUUUUUGUAGAGCAAUUUGAGCAACACUUGUAAGCAAAGGUGAUAUAAAAAUAUUAUUAGUGAACAAAUGUUAAGGGGUAGAUCAGGAAAAAUGUCUAUAUUUUUAGUUUAAAUAGAACAAUGUUUUAUGAAAUAUUGCUGGAUAACAACUCUUUUGACUCUGAGUAGCAUCUUGUUCAUAAAGCUAAAAUAGCAUUUUUCCUUUUUUGACAAAUUUAAUGAUUCACUUUUAUUGUGUUCAAAACCUUGGCUAACAUUUUUUUUAAAUACUAAGGUAAAAAUCUGUAAAUAUAUUUUUGUUCUGCUUCCCUAAUAGCUUUUAACACCUCCCCUUGUUGGCCAUUUUCAUUGUAGUUGUGUUCUAGUUAAAUGCAUUUACCAUUUAUACAUCUUUAUGAUUACUGAAUUUUCUACUCAUAAUAUACAUUCUUUA